rnacentral:lncRNA from 10 species
UGGGUGCCACCUGGGAGCUUUGAGCCCAGCCCAGCAAGGUAAAUAUCUACUCAUGGGAUUGCUGGGCUGUAUGGGGGCAGCAUCUUCUACUAUGUGCAUCUACAUUGGAUGGCAGUGGAGCAACACAGAUUGUUUUCUGACAAAAAUCAGCCAAGUACUAGGAGAGGCAGGACUUUAGAAGUGGAGGAGAUGGAGAAGGAAGCUUAGGUUACUAUGGAGUGUGCAAAAAGGUCCUGUGGAUUUAGAUACCACCACACACAAAUGCUGUUGUUGGAAGGUACCUGCCCAGAUAAGGACUGCAUUUCCUCUAGCAUCCAGAUGGGACCAAAUGACUGCUGGCCAAUAGAAGUGAGUGGAAAGGACUGACUCCAGUUCCAGGUUGGGCCUCCAACUGCUCUGGGCACGUCGAUGGAACAGAACACCACCUCCACCCCAAUACCACCAAUUCAACUUUACAUGAAUUAUAAGCGAGAAAUAACUUGGACUGUGUUAAGUCAUUGAGUUUCUGGGGUUUAACUGUUAUUAUAGUUAAGAAUGACUUUAACUAAUAUAGUCAAUGACAUCUAACUGGAGUUAUGAAAUUCAAUUUCUACUUAGAGUAAUUGAAGCAAAGGUUGUGGGGGAGGGGAGGAGGGCAGCACACCAUGAAAUCAGAGAUCCCCAGUACGUGUUAGUUCAUCAGUCAAUCAGUCUUAAGGUCAGGGUGUAGUGUGGGCAGCAGUUGCCUCCCUCUCCCCACAGAACACCCUGAGAAUAGGAAGUUAGAGUAGUCGCAUCUUAUUACUUACAAAACAUUACCUCAAAAUGCAAACUACCCCCUGGACCCAAACUCUCUACAAUCACCAGGUUCCAUAAACUAUAAUCUACUCUGUUUUCUGGAAGAAAAUAUUAACCUGUUAAAAUUCCCUGC